rnacentral:rRNA from 1 species
UACGUAGGAUCCGAGCGUUGUCCGGAAUUACUGGGUGUAAAGGGCGUGUAGGUGGGUCUCUAAGUCGGUGGUGAAAUCCUGCAGCUUAACUGCAGAACUGCCAUUGAUACUGGAGGUCUUGAGUACGGCAGAGGGAGAUGGAAUUCAUGGUGUAGCGGUGAAAUGUGUAGAUAUCAUGAAGAACACCGGUAGCGAAGGCGGUCUCCUGGUCCGUAACUGACACUGAGGCGCGAAAGCGUGGGGAGCAAACAGG